rnacentral:rRNA from 1 species
GAUGAACGCUGGCGGCGUGCUUAACACAUGCAAGUCGAACGAAGCAUUUGCGACAGAUUUUUUCGGAAUGAAGUUGCUUAUGACUGAGUGGCGGACGGGUGAGUAACGCGUGGGUAACCUGCCUUGUACUGGGGGAUAGCAGCUGGAAACGGCUGGUAAUACCGCAUAAGCGCACAAUGUUGCAUGACAUGGUGUGAAAAACUCCGGUGGUAUAAGAUGGACCCGCGUCUGAUUAGCUAGUUGGUGAGAUAACAGCCCACCAAGGCGACGAUCAGUAGCCGACCUGAGAGGGUGACCAGCCACAUUGGGACUGAGACACGGCCCAGACUCCUACGGGAGGCAGCAGUGGGGAAUAUUGCACAAUGGAGGAAACUCUGAUGCAGCGACGCCGCGUGAGUGAAGAAGUAAUUCGUUAUGUAAAGCUCUAUCAGCAGGGAAGAUAGUGACGGUACCCGACUAAGAAGCUCCGGCUAAAUACGUG